CGGCUUCAGGUUUCCUCCGUGUUUACUUUCAUUACUGGUUUAGCUCGCGACAGCAAACGUCUUUGACGACACUUUGUCGUUUCGCUUAAAACCCCGCGUAAUCGUCUUUGCUUCGACGCUAGUUGCACCAUGACAAGUUUCGCGACUGUGAACGAUCUCGAUCCUAAUCUAGGUUCCUCUUCGCUAGUAGGACAAUUUCAGUUAACAAGUUGACCGCCCCGUAUAUGGCCGACGAGGCUUCUCGUCGAGGAACCGAAUGAAUUAUUACCAAAGGGAGCACGCGGCUGUUUAUCAUUACGCGCGAAAGAGAAGAGCGUCGGAAAAGGAGUGAAGACCAGGGGAGGAGGCGGAGAGGAUGGAAUAGAAAGAGUCAAAGAAGGAGACCGAGAAAAAGAGGGGACGGCUGCAAGGUCCUCUUCAACCUCGCAUACCGCGGCGCUUAAGUCAAAAUACGCAAAAGAUGGUGGACAGGACUAGAGUCUGGGUUCUGAAUUAGACAUCAGGCACCUACCACUGGGCCCUAUGUAGGAUGUGACGUGUGAAAGAGGAAG